AUUGAACGCUGGCGGCAUGCCUUACACAUGCAAGUCGAACGGUAACGGGCCUUCGGGUGCCGACGAGUGGCGAACGGGUGAGUAAUACAUCGGAACGUGCCCGAUCGUGGGGGAUAACGAGGCGAAAGCUUUGCUAAUACCGCAUACGAUCUACGGAUGAAAGCAGGGGACCGCAAGGCCUUGCGCGGACGGAGCGGCCGAUGGCAGAUUAGGUAGUUGGUGGGAUAAAAGCUUACCAAGCCGACGAUCUGUAGCUGGUCUGAGAGGAUGAUCAGCCACACCGGGACUGAGACACGGCCCAGACUCCUACGGGAGGCAGCAGUGGGGAAUUUUGGACAAAGGGCGCAAGCCUGAUCCAGCCAUGCCGCGUGCAGGAUGAAGGCCUUCGGGUUGUAAACUGCUUUUGUACGGAACGAAAAGCCUUCUUUUAAUACAGGAGGGUCAUGACGGUACCGUAAGAAUAAGCACCGGCUAACUACGUG
rnacentral:rRNA from 1 species